GGUGGCAAGAGUUGUCCGGAAUUUCUGGGUGUAAAGGGAGCGCAGGGCGGGAAGACAAGUUGGAAGUGAAAUCUAUGGGCUCGCCCCAUAGACUGCUUUCAAAACUGUUUUUCUUGAGUAGUGCAGAGGUAGGCGGAAUUCCCGGUGUAGCGGUGGAAUGCGUAGAUAUCGGGAGGAACACCAGUGGCGAAGGCGGCCUACUGGGCACCAACUGACGCUGAGGCUCGAAAGUGUGGGUAGCAAACAGGAUUAGAUACCCUGGUAGUCCACACCGUAAACGAUGAUUACUAGGUGUUGGAGGAUUGACCCCUUCAGUGCCGCAGUUAACACAAUAAGUAAUCCACCUGGGGAGUACGACCGCAAGGUUGAAACUCAAAGGAAUUGACGGGGGCCCGCACAAGCAGUGGAGUAUGUGGUUUAAUUCGACGCAACGCGAAGAACCUUACCAAGUCUUGACAUCCCUUGACAGGCAUAGAAAUAUGUUUUCUCUUCGGAGCAAGGAGACAGGUGGUGCAUGGUUGUCGUCAGCUCGUGUCGUGAGAUGUUGGGUUAAGUCCCGCAACGAGCGCAACCCCUAUCCUCAGUAGCCAGCAUUUAAGGUGGGCACUCUGGGGAGACUGCCAGGGAUAACCUGGAGGAAGGCGGGGAUGACGUCAAAUCAUCAUGCCCCUUAUGAUUUGGGCUACACACGUGCUACAAUGGCGUAAACAAAGGGAAGCGAGAUCGUGAGAUGGAGCAAAUCCCAAAAAUAACGUCCCAGUUCGGACUGUAGUCUGCAACCCGACUACACGAAGCUGGAAUCGCUAGUAAUCGCGGAUCAGAAUGCCGCGGUGAAUACGUUCCCGGGUCUUGUACACACCGCCCGUCA
rnacentral:rRNA from 1 species